AGUCGAUGAUGUAAUAUUAAGAGUAGUGGACAGAAGAGAUUUCUGACAACUUUACCCACUGAGACA